CCCGGUCAUUCAAUCUCGCCGUUCUACCAACUCCGCCGCCCGUGCUCCACCUCCACACGCUGUCGUACAAUCUUGCCAUCAUCGCCGGACCGCCCGUGCUCCACCUGAGAAAGUGAAUGACAACACUGACUUGACCAUUGUUGUGGAUUUUGAUAACCGACCUUCAAAAAAAGCCAAAUUUUUUGAAUCAGAUUUUUUGGAGCCAUCACCUAUGUCACUAACCAUCUCAACAUUACCUUUGGUUUUUGAAUGUUUUGAAUCAAUUGUUCUGGAAUCAGAUAGACAUUGAUCCAUUGACAUGACCUCCGUCACCAACUAGCUCGACAAUACCUCCAGUUUCUGCAUGUAUGAAUGAAGGAAAAGUUUAAUCGAUGAUGAUAAGCAACCAGAGGAAUAUGAAGAAAUAAAAGUUGAUGAAACAUACGACUACCUCCCACUAGAUUAUGCAUUGACCAACCAUGAUGUAUGUGUUCAUAUAGCAAUAGAAACAUCUUUUGAAAAAACAAUUACAGGUGAAGAUAGAUGAAACAUCUGCCAAACAACAUCAGCUGUUGUGCCUGCUAGAUGAAAAAGGGAGGCUAAACAAUAAUGUAAGUACGGGAUGUCAAUCUUGGAAUACAUGAAGACAGUACCUUUAUGAAAAUAGAUUGUCAAAAACUAUGUGAAGCAUGACAUGGUAACAUCCAUAUUCUUAAUUUUCAUGUUCUGAGUUUAAUACAUAUUUAUUGGUAAUUUUACCAGUUAUCUUGAUUAUAGAAUGAACUUCCAAUAAAUAUGAACAACACACAUUGCUA